GCCGCCAUGGUGAAAUUGGUAGACACGCUGCUCUUAGGAAGCAGUGCUCAGCAUCUCGGUUCAAAUCCGAGUGGCGGGCA
rnacentral:tRNA from 1 species